rnacentral:rRNA from 1 species
GAGAGGGUAUUUAAGGAGGGCCCUUGGGAGGAAGGAGGGGAUGCGGACAAUGUGUGGAUGAAGAUGGCGACUUGCAUUCGUAAGGUGGCCUCGAAGGAGUUUGGAGUGUCCAGGGGAAGGAGAAGCGAAGAUAAGGAUACCUGGUGGUGGAAUGAUGAUGUCCAGAAGGCGCUUAAAGAGAAGAAAGAUUGCUUCAGACGCCUAUACCUGGAUAGGAGUGUAGACAACAUAGAGAAGUACAAGAUGGCGAAGAAGGCCGCAAAGCGAGCUGUUGGUGAAGCAAGGGGUCGGGUAUAUGAGGACCUCUACCAACGGUUAGGCAUGAAGGAAGGUGAAAGGUACAUCUAUAAGAUGGCUAAGAUCCGGGAGAGGAAGACGAGGGAUAUUGGCCAAGUCAAAUGCAUCAAGGACGGAGCAGGCCAACUCUUGGUGAAGGACGAAGAGAUUAAGCAUAGAUGGCGGGAGUACUUCGACAAGCUGUUCAAUGGGGAGAAUGAGAGUUCUACCAUUGAACUGAAUGACUCCUUUGAUGAGACCAGCAUGCGUUUUAUGCGGCGCAUCCAGGAGUCUGAGGUGAAGGAGGCUUUAAAAAGGAUGAAAGGAGGCAAGGCGAUGGGCCCUGAUUGUAUCCCCAUUGAGGUGUGGAAAGGUCUCGGGGACAUAGCGAUAGUAUGGCUAACCAAGCUUUUCAACCUCAUUUUUCGGGCAAACAAGAUGCCAGAAGAAUGGAGACGGAGUAUAUUAGUACCAAUCUUCAAGAACAAGGGGGAUGUUCAGAGUUGUACUAAUUACCGUGGAAUUAAGCUGAUGAGCCAUACAAUGAAGCUAUGGGAGAGAGUCAUUGAGCACCGCUUAAGA